GACGAACGCUGGCGGCGUGCUUAACACAUGCAAGUCGUACGGUAAGGCCCUUUCGUGGGUACACGAGUGGCGAACGGGGGCGUAACACGUGAGUAACCUGCCCACAACUUUGGGAUAACGCUAGGAAACUGGUGCUAAUACUGGAUAUGUGCUCCUGCUGCAUGGUGGGGGUUGGAAAGUUCCGGCGGUUUUGGAUGGACUCGCUGGCUAUCUGCUUGUUGGUGGGGUAGUGGCCUACCGAGGCGGCGGGGGGUAGCCGGCCUGCGGGGCUGACCGGCGACCCAGAGACCGAGGGGCGGCAGCGGUAGCGACGGUAGGGAGCAGUGGGGAAUAUUGCACAAUGGGCGCAGGCCUGGUGCAGCAACGCCGCGUGCGGGAUGACGGCCUUAGGGUUGUAAACCGCUUUCAGCAGGGACGAAGCUCUUUGUGACGGUACCUGCAGAGGAAGCACCGGCUAACUACGUG
rnacentral:rRNA from 1 species